AUUGAGCGCUGGCGGCAUGCUUUACACAUGCAAGUCGAACGGUAACAGGGAGCUUGCUCCGCUGACGAGUGGCGAACGGGUGAGUAAUGCGUCGGAACGUGCCGAGUAGUGGGGGAUAACGCAGCGAAAGUUGUGCUAAUACCGCAUACGUACUGAGGUAGAAAGUGGGGGACCUUCGGGCCUCACGCUAUUCGAGCGGCCGACGUCUGAUUAGCUAGUAGGUGAGGUAAAGGCUCACCUAGGCGACGAUCAGUAGCGGGUCCGAGAGGAUGAGCCGCCACACUGGGACUGAGACACGGCCCAGACUCCUACGGGAGGCAGCAGUGGGGAAUUUUGGACAAUGGGCGAAAGCCUGAUCCAGCCAUGCCGCGUGUCUGAAGAAGGCCUUCGGGUUGUAAAGGACUUUUGUACGGAACGAAACGGUCCUGGUUAAUACCUGGGGCUAAUGACGGUACCGUAAGAAUAAGCACCGGCUAACUACGUGCCAGCAGCCGCCGUAAAAC
rnacentral:rRNA from 1 species